GCACACAUCUGCUGCAAUCAUAAAGAAGUGCCUGACAAAUCAUGCAGCUAAAAGGACCCAGCUUAAAUGCUUGAGAAUCAUAUCCAAAGGGGCAUUUAGGUGACACAGUUGCAGAUUCUCCAGACUCUUGUUUAGCCUUGUUCUCCUGGCCAUAUCCAAAGGGGCAUUGAGGUGACACAACUGCAGAUUCUCCAGACGCUUCUUUAGGCUUGCUCUCCUGGCCAUAUCCAAAGGGGCAUUUAGGUGACACAAUUGCAGAUUCCCUAGACUCUUGCUUAGGCUUGCUCUCCUGACUAGCCGGCUGUUUAUUUUGGUUUUCACCAGGCUUCUUAGUAGAAGUGU
rnacentral:lncRNA from 1 species